rnacentral:lncRNA from 1 species
AAUAAUUUUCAGAAAAAUUGUUAAAAAAUAAUAUCUAAGCAUGCAAAUGGUUUUUAGUUUAUCUCAUAAGGAAUCGCUGGAAUCCUUAGCACAAGCAAGAUCAUUGUCAGACGACGAGUAUGCUUCUUUUAUAGUUAUGGUGUCAAAUGAUUGACCACACUCAUCACACUUGGUAUCGGCAUUUUUACAAUUUUUAACAGGACGUCCACGAGUAUC